rnacentral:rRNA from 1 species
UCAGCCAAAUUAGGUGACCGCGAAAGGCUCAUUAAAUCAGUUAUGGUUCCUUAGAUCGUACCCACAUUUACUUGGAUAACUGUGGUAAUUCUAGAGCUAAUACAUGCAAACAGAGCUCCGACCGGAGACGGAAGGAGCGCUUUUAUUAGAUCAAAACCAAUCGGUGGCGGGUUCGCUCGUCAUCGUACAUUUUGGUGACUCUGAAUAACUUUUUGCUGAUCGCACGGUCUAGCACCGGCGACGCAUCUUUCAAAUGUCUGCCUUAUCAACUGUCGAUGGUAGGUUCUGCGCCUACCAUGGUUGUAACGGGUAACGGGGAAUCAGGGUUCGAUUCCGGAGAGGGAGCCUGAGAAACGGCUACCACAUCCAAGGAAGGCAGCAGGCGCGCAAAUUACCCACUCCCGGCACGGGGAGGUAGUGACGAAAAAUAACGAUACGGGACUCAUCCGAGGCCCCGUAAUCGGAAUGAGUACACUCUAAACCCUUUAACGAGGAUCAAUUGGAGGGCAAGUCUGGUGCCAGCAGCCGCGGUAAUUCCAGCUCCAAUAGCGUAUAUUAAAGUUGUUGCGGUUAAAAAGCUCGUAGUCGAAUCUGUGUCCCGCGCCGUCGGUUCAUCGCUCGCGGUGUUUAACUGACGUGUCGUGGGACGUCCUGCCGGUGGGCUUAGCUCGUUCGCGGGCGGCCCAACUUGAAAUCCCACCGCGGUGCUCUUCAUUGAGUGUCGAGGUGGGCCGGCACGUUUACUUUGAACAAAUUAGAGUGCUUAAAGCAGGCUAAAAUUUCGCCUGAAUAUUCUGUGCAUGGAAUAAUGGAAUAGGACCUCGGUUCUAUUUUGUUGGUUUUCGGAACCCCGAGGUAAUGAUUAAUAGGAACGGAUGGGGGCAUUCGUAUUGCGACGUUAGAGGUGAAAUUCUUGGAUCGUCGCAAGACGGACAGAAGCGAAAGCAUUUGCCAAAAACGCUUUCAUUGAUCAAGAACGAAAGUUAGAGGUUCGAAGGCGAUCAGAUACCGCCCUAGUUCUAACCAUAAACGAUGCCAGCUAGCGAUCCGCCGACGUUCCUCCGAUGACUCGGCGGGCAGCUUCCGGGAAACCAAAGCUUUUGGGUUCCGGGGGAAGUAUGGUUGCAAAGCUGAAACUUAAAGGAAUUGACGGAAGGGCACCACCAGGAGUGGAGCCUGCGGCUUAAUUUGACUCAACACGGGAAACCUCACCAGGCCCGGACACCGGAAGGAUUGACAGAUUGAGAGCUCUUUCUUGAUUCGGUGGGUGGUGGUGCAUGGCCGUUCUUAGUUGGUGGAGCGAUUUGUCUGGUUAAUUCCGAUAACGAACGAGACUCUAGCCUGCUAACUAGGCGUAUUUUCGACAUCCUAAAGGCCCGCCGGCCCGGCGUUCGCGUCGCGGUCGUGCGCGGUUUUUACUGUCGGCGUACAAACAAUUCUUCUUAGAGGGACAGGCGGCUUCUAGCCGCACGAGAUUGAGCAAUAACAGGUCUGUGAUGCCCUUAGAUGUUCUGGGCCGCACGCGCGCUACACUGAAGGAAUCAGCGUGUCCUCCCUGGCCGAGAGGCCCGGGUAACCCGCUGAACCUCCUUCGUGCUAGGGAUUGGGGCUUGCAAUUGUUCCCCAUGAACGAGGAAUUCCCAGUAAGCGCGAGUCAUAAGCUCGCGUUGAUUACGUCCCUGCCCUUUGUACACACCGCCCGUCGCUACUACCGAUUGAAUGAUUUAGUGAGGUCUUCGGACCGGUACGCGGCGGCGCUCCCGCGUCGCCGAUGUUGCUGGAAAGAUGACCAAACUUGAUCAUUUAGAGGAAG